rnacentral:rRNA from 1 species
CAGGAUUCUCCGUCCCUGAAUCCCCCUGCUUAUGGCUACCCCGACGGCGGCGGCGACCAGCCACGCUUCGUCUUCGUCGAGCCGUGUGCCUACUUUGCCGACCGCCGCAACGCCACCACCGCCGGCUGCAGCAUGGACGGCCUCCGUCUCCGGGGGGACAUCGAGGUCACCUUCUGCACCGUCCAACCACCGCAGGUCUCCUACCUCUGCGUCCACACCACCGCCACCGACCACACUGUGUUCGCCGUCCGGCCUAAUAUAGUUGCCACAGAGACUGACGGCGGCCUCGUCCUCCUAUGCGUCGCCGUCGGC